ACUGNCNAUCUUGGAACCGGGAGAGGUAAGACGUACUUCGGGGGUAGGAGUGAAAUCUUGUAAUCCCNGAGGGACCACCGAUGGCGAAGGCAUCUUACCAGAACGGCUUCGACAGUGAGGGACGAAAGCUGGGGGANCAAACCGGAUUAGAUACCCGGGUAGUCCCAGCCGUAAACGAUGUUCGUUAGGUGUNUNAGNUACCACGACUCUNUNAGGUGCCGAAGGGAAACCGUGAAACGCACCNCCUGGGAAGUACGGUCGCAAGGCUGAAACUUAA
rnacentral:rRNA from 1 species